GUCUGGCAAAUCCUACAUCAAAGGAAGAAUGUGAUUAAAUAAUUUACUUCAUGGAAAAGUGCGAAUUUUACAUACUGCCAGGAAGCACUUUCAAUCCCUGUCUGAUGUGCAGAAUUCAUAAACAUCACCAAGGAGAUCUGGCAGUCAUAACCACUUUGCACUUGCUCAGCCUCACUCUUCAUCAAGCUAAACCACCUUCAAGUCUCCAUCAUUCUGUCACACCACAGAACAAACCCACUUCCAACCACCUCCUGCAAACCCACACUGCUCACACAUCUAUG